rnacentral:rRNA from 1 species
GACGAACGCUGGCGGCGUGCUUAACACAUGCAAGUCGAACGGAAAGGCCCUGCUUUUGUGGGGUGCUCGAGUGGCGAACGGGUGAUUAACACGUGAGUAACCUGCCCUUGACUUUGGGAUAACUUCAGGAAACUGGGGCUAAUACCGGAUAGGAGCUCCUGCUGCAUGGUGAGGGUUGGAAAGUUUCGGCGGUUGGGGAUGGACUCGCGGCUUAUCAGCUUGUUGGUGGGGUAGUGGCUUACCAAGGCUUUGACGGGUAGCCGGCCUGAGAGGGUGACCGGCCACAUUGGGACUGAGAUACGGCACAGACUCCUACGGGAGGCAGCAGUGGGGAAUAUUGCACAAUGGGCGGAAGCCUGAUGCAGCAACGCCGCGUGCGGGAUGACGGCCUUCGGGUUGUAAACCGCUUUCGCCUGUGACGAAGCGUGAGUGACGGUAAUGGGUAAAGAAGCACCGGCUAACUACGUG